rnacentral:rRNA from 1 species
GAUGAACGCUGGCGGCGUGCCUAAUACAUGCAAGUCGAGCGAACGGACGAGAAGCUUGCUUCUCUGAUGUUAGCGGCGGACGGGUGAGUAACACGUGGAUAACCUACCUAUAAGACUGGGAUAACUUCGGGAAACCGGAGCUAAUACCGGAUAAUAUUUUGAACCGCAUGGUUCAAAAGUGAAAGACGGUCUUGCUGUCACUUAUAGAUGGAUCCGCGCUGCAUUAGCUAGUUGGUAAGGUAACGGCUUACCAAGGCAACGAUGCAUAGCCGACCUGAGAGGGGGAUCGGCCACACUGGAACUGAGACACGGUCCAGACUCCUACGGGAGGCAGAGGUAGGGAAUCUUCCGCAAUGGGCGAAAGCCUGACGGAGCAACGCCGCGUGGGUGAUGAAGGUCUUCGGAUCGUAAAACUCUGUAUUAGGGAAGAACAUAUGUGUAAGUAACUGUGCACAUCUUGACGGUACCUAAUCAGAAAGCCACGGCUAACUACGUG